rnacentral:rRNA from 1 species
GAUGAACGCUAGCGGGAGGCCUAACACAUGCAAGCCGAGCGGUAUUUGUUCUUCGGAACAGAGAGAGCGGCGCACGGGUGCGGAACACGUGUGCAACCUGCCUUUAUCUGGGGGAUAGCCUUUCGAAAGGAAGAUUAAUACCCCAUAAUAUAUUGAGUGGCAUCAUUUGAUAUUGAAAACUCCGGUGGAUAGAGAUGGGCACGCGCAAGAUUAGAUAGUUGGUGAGGUAACGGCUCACCAAGUCAAUGAUCUUUAGGGGGCCUGAGAGGGUGAUCCCCCACACGGGUACUGAGACACGGACCAGACUCCUACGGGAGGCAGCAGUGAGGAAUAUUGGACAAUGGGUUAGCGCCUGAUCCAGCCAUCCCGCGUGAAGGACGACGGCCCUAUGGGUUGUAAACUUCUUUUGUAUAGGGAUAAACCUACUCUCGUGAGAGUAGCUGAAGGUACUAUACGAAUAAGCACCGGCUAACUCCGUG